AAGUCGUAACAAGGUUUCCGUAGGUGAACCUGCGGAAGGAUCAUUAAUGAAUGAUUUUUGAGUAAAUUUGGCACCUGCCAGAUUUAUUCUUUCCUGUGAACUGUUUUUAUUUUUCUUGUUUUCUUUUUAUAUUUUAGUGUUCGUAAGGACAAUGAAAUUCUAAAGACAACUUUCAGCAAUGGAUCUCUUGGCUCUU
rnacentral:misc_RNA from 1 species